CAAGAAAACCAAAGCACAGAGACGUUAGCGUGCUUUCGUUCUCACAAUUAGUGAUAAUUUGAUAGCAGGAAAUCUCUUUCCAGAGCUGGCCUUUCACUUUACUCCUCGUAAUCACAUGACAGAUCCCAGUCCAAGCUGGCAGAGGCCUGCAGAGCCGAGACUAAGCUCUACAGCUCUGUGUUCCUGGGAAGAAAGAAGGUCCUAUGGGAAGCCCAGCACAUCGACAAGGCAGGGAAGAGGGAAGGCAUGCUGGAGGGGCAUUUGUGAUGAGGAGGAAAGAGCGGCUCUCAGGGAACAGCAGAGGAUGCAGAGGAAGGGAGACGCCCACCAUCCACCUUUCGGAGGGGAUAGAAACACCUCAGGUAUCACUGAGAAAGACCUCAAACACCGAAGUGUCACGUCCUACUUCCUAUUUGGGUCUCUGGGGGAGAACUGGCCCUUACAGGGCCCCAUAUUAGCACAGG
rnacentral:lncRNA from 1 species